UACGUAGGGGGCGAGCGUUGUCCGGAAUCAUUGGGCGUAAAGCGCGUGUAGGCGGCUCGAUAAGUCCGGUGUGAAAUCUUGGGGCUCAACCCCAAGCCUGCACUGGAUACUGUCGAGCUUGAGUCCGGGAGGGGAGAGCGGAAUUCCUAGUGUAGCGGUGAAAUGCGCAGAUAUCGGGAGGAACACCCGUAGCGAAGGCGGCACUCUGGGCCGGUACUGACGCUGAGGAGCGAAAGCGUGGGGAGCAAACAGG
rnacentral:rRNA from 1 species